rnacentral:tRNA from 1 species
GUUUUAAUAGUUUAAAUAAAACACCGGUCUUGUAAAUCGGAAUUGAAGAUAAAUUCUUCUUAAAGCA